CCUACGGGAGGCAGCAGUGAGGAAUAUUGGUCAAUGGGCGCAAGCCUGAACCAGCCAAGCCGCGUGAAGGAUGACUGCCCUAUGGGUUGUAAACUUCUUUUGUAAAGGAAUAAAGUGCGGCACGUGUGCCUUUUUGUAUGUACUUUAUGAAUAAGGAUCGGCUAACUCCGUGCCAGCAGCCGCGGUAAUACGGAGGAUCCGAGCGUUAUCCGGAUUUAUUGGGUUUAAAGGGAGCGUAGAUGGUUUGUUAAGUCAGGUGUGAAAGUUUGCGGCUCAACCGUAAAAUUGCAAUUGAUACUGGCAGUCUUGAGUAUAGUUGAGGUAGGCGGAAUUUGUGGUGUAGCGGUGAAAUGCUUAGAGAUCACGAAGAACACCGAUUGCGAAGGCAGCUUACUAAACUGUCACUGACAUUGAGGCUCGAAAGUGUGGGUAGCAAACAGGAUUAGAUACCCUUGUAGUC
rnacentral:rRNA from 1 species